rnacentral:rRNA from 1 species
UACGUUGGGGAAUAUUGGAUAAUGGGCGAAAGCCUGAUCCAGCCAUGCCGCGUGUGUGAAGAAAGCCUUUUGGUUGUAAAGCACUUUUAGCGAGGAGGAGGCUACUUAGAUUAAUACUCUAGGAUAGUGGACGUUACUCGCAAAAUAAGCACCGGCUAACUCUGUGCCAGCAGCCGCGGUA